rnacentral:rRNA from 1 species
CCAUGGCUCAGGAUGAACGCUGGCGGCGUGCCUAAUACAUGCAAGUCGAGCGAAUGAUGAGGAGCUUGCUCCUCUGAUUUAGCGGCGGACGGGUGAGUAACACGUGGGUAAUCUGCCUGUAAGACGGGGAUAACUCCGGGAAACCGGGGCUAAUACCGGAUAAUAAGAGAAGAAGCAUUUCUUCUUUUUGAAAGUUGGUUUCGGCUGACACUUACAGAUGAGCCCGCGGCGCAUUAGCUAGUUGGUGAGGUAACGGCUCACCAAGGCGACGAUGCGUAGCCGACCUGAGAGGGUGAUCGGCCACACUGGGACUGAGACACGGCCCAGACUCCUACGGGAGGCAGCAGUAGGGAAUCUUCGGCAAUGGGCGAAAGCCUGACCGAGCAACGCCGCGUGAGCGAUGAAGGCCUUCGGGUCGUAAAGCUCUGUUGUUAGAGAAGAACAAGUACGAGAGUAACUGCUCGUACCUUGACGGUACCUAACC